rnacentral:SRP_RNA from 1 species
GCCGGGCGUGGUGGUGCAUGCCUGUAAUCCUAGCUACUCGGGAGGCUGAGGCAGGAGAAUCACUUGAACCUGGGAGGCAGAGAUUGCAGUGAGCCGAGAUCAUGCCACUGCACUCCAGCCUGGGUGACAGAAUGAGACUCUGUCUCAA